GACGUAGGGGGCCAGCGUUGUUCGGAAUUACUGGGUGUAAAGGGUUCGUAGGCGGUGUAGCAAGUCGGGAGUGAAAUCUCUGGGCUUAACCCAGAGGCUGCUUCCGAAACUGCUGUGCUUGAGUAUGGGAGAGGCGCGUGGAAUUGCAGGUGUAGCGGUGAAAUGCGUAGAUAUCUGCAGGAACACCCGUGGCGAAAGCGGCGCGCUGGACCACUACUGACGCUGAGGAACGAAAGCUAGGGGAGCAAACAGG
rnacentral:rRNA from 1 species